CAAGACCUCGGUUAAAUUGGACAUCUUACUUCGAAUUCAAGGAUGUUCUAUUCUUCCAGGUUGUCGUGGAUUCUUCUUCUUUUCUUGUCCAUCUUUUUGGACUAAGACAUUCUUAGACUAUUGUUUAUGUGUUGAGUUUUGGGGUUGCAUCCCCUUCGUUUAGACAUUAGAUUUUUUGUACCAUGACUUUCAGUUUUUAGGGAUUUAUUUCCGCACAAAUGUUUUGACUAUUUAUUGAGUUUAU
rnacentral:lncRNA from 1 species